GAGCAGGAAGGUCAGAGCUGUUCCUGCAUGGAGCUGCUACUCCUCGAUUUUUGCAGCCACAACACCUGAGGAACAAAGAAACAGAUUUAGACUGAGCGAGGGAUCCUGGCAGAAAGGAAUCCAGACAGUAAGGCUGAUGAAGCAUGUGCUUACCUUCUACCUGCUAUAAAUGGUACAGGACUUCAGGGAAUUCAGAAGUGUGCUAAUGAAGAAGUGUCCAAGCAAUUGCCUUUGAGAUGCUCCCUGUUUUGAGAGCAAAUGAAGAUACAAGGCCAAAGAUUCUGGAAGUGAAGUGCUGGCUGGAGGCAUCAGAGUAAAACCUGAGGAACAUCUUGUUAGUAGACGCCACCACCGGAUCCGGUUUCUUGCUGCCACAGAAGCGGCCAAGGAUGGACGACUUGCUGUUGGGGCCGUCGUACAUU